rnacentral:rRNA from 1 species
GGUUUGAUUCUGGCUCAGAUUGAACGCUGGCGAUGCUUUACACAUGCAAGUCGAACGGCAGCACGGACUUCGGUCUGGUGGCGAGUGGCGAACGGGUGAGUAAUGUAUCGGAACGUGCCUAGUAAGUGGGGAUAACUACGCGAAAGCGUAGCUAUCAGUAUACGAACUGGGGGAAAGCGGGGACCUUCGGGCCUCGCACUAUUAGAGCGGCCGAUAUCGGAUUAGCUAGUUGGUGGGGUAACGGCUCACCAAGGCGACGAUCCGUAGCUGGUUUGAGAGGACGACCAGCCACACUGGGACUGAGACACGGCCCAGACUCCUACGGGAGGCAGCAGUGGGGAAUUUUGACAAUGGGGGAAACCCUGAUCCAGCCAUCCCGCGUGUGCGAUGAAGGCCUUCGGGUUGUAAAGCACUUUUUGGCAGGAAAGAAACGGCACGGGAUAAUACCCGUGCAACUGACGGUACCUAAGAAUAAGCACCGGCUAACUACGCCAGCAGCCGCGGUAAUACGUAGGGUGCAAGCGUUAAUCGGAAUUACUGGGCGAAGCGUGCGCAGGCGGCUCUGGAAAGAAAGAUGAAAUCUCAGAGCUUAACUUUGGAACUGCAUUUUUAACUACCGAGCUAGAGGUUGAGGGAGGUGGGAAUCGCGUGUAGCAGUGAAAUGCGUAGAUAUGCGGAGGAACACCGAUGGCGAAGGCAGCCCCUGGGAUAACACUGACGCUCAUGCACGAAAGCGUGGGGAGCAAACAGAUUAGAUACCCUGGUAGUCCACGCCCUAAACGAUGUCAACUAGCUGUUGGGGCCUUCGGGCCUUGGUAGCGCAGCUAACGCGUGAAGCUGACCGCCUGGGGAGUACGGUCGCAAGAUUAAAAACUCAAAGGAAUUGACGGGGACCCGCACAAGCGGUGGAUGAUGUGGAUUACCCGAUGCAACGCGAAAACCUUACCUACCCUUGACAUGUCUGGAAUCCCGAAGAGAUUUGGGAGUGCUCGCAAGAGAACCGGAACACAGGUGCUGCAUGGCUGUCGUCAGCUCGUGUCGUGAGACGUUGGGUUAAGUCCCGCAACGAGCGCAACCCUUGUCAUUAGUUGCUACGAAAGGGCACUCUAAUGAGACUGCCGGUGACAAACUGGAGGAAGGUGGGGAUGACGUCAAGUCCUCAUGGCCCUUAUGGGUAGGGCUUCACACGUCAUACAAUGGUCGGGACAGAGGGUCGCCAACCCGCGAGGGGGAGCCAAUCCCAGAAACCCGAUCGUAGUCCGAUCGCAGCCCGCAACCCGACUGCGUGCGGAAGUCGGAAUCGCUAGUAAUCGCGAUCAGCAUGUCGCGGUGAAUACGUUCCCGGUCUUGUACACACCGCCCGUCACACCAUGGGAGUGGGUUUUACCAGAAGUAGGCCUUAACCGUAAGGAGGGCGAUUGGUAGGAUUCAUGACUGUGGGUGAAGUCGUAACAAGGUA